rnacentral:tRNA from 1 species
GUCCCCGUAGUUUAGCCUGGAUAAAAUGCAAGGUUGCGGACCUUGCGAUCCGCGGUUCAAAUCCGCGCGGGGACG